rnacentral:rRNA from 1 species
AGGAAUAUUGGUCAAUGGGCGAGAGCCUGAACCAGCCAAGUAGCGUGAAGGAUGACUGCCCUAUGGGUUGUAAACUUCUUUUAUAAAGGAAUAAAGUCGGGUAUGCAUACCCGUUUGCAUGUACUUUAUGAAUAAGGAUCGGCUAACUCCGUGCCAGCAGCCGCGGUAAUACGGAGGAUCCGAGCGUUAUCCGGAUUUAUUGGGUUUAAAGGGAGCGUAGAUGGAUGUUUAAGUCAGUUGUGAAAGUUUGCGGCUCAACCGUAAAAUUGCAGUUGAUACUGGAUAUCUUGAGUGCAGUUGAGGCAGGCGGAAUUCGUGGUGUAGCGGUGAAAUGCUUAGAUAUCACGAAGAACUCCGAUUGCGAAGGCAGCCUGCUAAGCUGCAACUGACAUUGAGGCUCGAAAGUGUGGGUAUCAAACAGGAUUAGAUACCCUGGUAGUCCACACGGUAAACGAUGAAUACUCGCUGUUUGCGAUAUACUGCAAGCGGCCAAGCGAAAGCGUUAAGUAUUCCACCUGGGGAGUACGCCGGCAACGGUGAAACUCAAAGGAAUUGACGGGGGCCCGCACAAGCGGAGGAACAUGUGGUUUAAUUCGAUGAUACGCGAGGAACCUUACCCGGGCUUAAAUUGCAGAUGAAUUACGGCGAAAGCCGUAAGCCGCAAGGCAUCUGUGAAGGUGCUGCAUGGUUGUCGUCAGCUCGUGCCGUGAGGUGUCGGCUUAAGUGCCAUAACGAGCGCAACCCUUGUUGUCAGUUACUAACAGGUUCCGCUGAGGACUCUGACAAGACUGCCAUCGUAAGAUGUGAGGAAGGUGGGGAUGACGUCAAAUCAGCACGGCCCUUACGUCCGGGGCUACACACGUGUUACAAUGGGGGGUACAGAGGGCCGCUACCACGCGAGUGGAUGCCAAUCCCCAAAACCUCUCUCAGUUCGGACUGGAGUCUGCAACCCGACUCCACGAAGCUGGAUUCGCUAGUAAUCGCGCAUCAGCCACGGCGCGGUGAAUACGUUCCCG